GGGCCCGUAGUCUAGCUGGUUAGGACGCCGCCCUGACGCGGCGGAGGUCUCCGGUUCGAAUCCGGACGGGCCCA
rnacentral:tRNA from 1 species